AGGUAAAAAAAUAGCGAUUUUUGUGAAAAAAUGUGUUUUUUAGUUUAUCAGCCAACUUUGUUUAAAAUUUAAUUGGCUUUUUAACCAUAUAUAACAUGAUAUGGGUUAAUUAAUAAAAAAAUGUAAAAAAAUUGUUUUAGUUGGUAAGAGUAAAAAAAAUUUACUUAACAACCGCAUAGCAACCAAUAAUUUUUUAUAGAUAUAUUACCCAAAGACCUAGAUUUAAACAAUUAUUUCUUUUCAUGGGUCUGUAUAAUUAACUAAACUUUUGAACCAGAGUUAUUUUUAGCAAAGCCGUAUGUUUUGAUGUUAUUUGUUAAGCAGAAAGAAAAAAGUUUAAAGUUGCCUGGAUGGCGCAACACAAAAUCCAAAUGAGGCUUUCAACCAGAUAAUCUGGAAAAAGUGUCCAAAAAAUAUUUUUGUUACUAAAAAGCUCUUGCCUGGAAGUUUUAUGAUCCAAGGAUCGUGGAAGAAGGACGUAUCAAGAGUAAAGAACACGAUUAAAAAUUCAACUCCAAAGCAAAAAAGGGCUAGAAGGAAAAGGAGAUGUAUCAGGAAGGGUUAUAUUGAUAAGGAGAAAGAAAAAGAGGGAGUAGACUCUUAUAUUACAGGAAAUUUUUAAUUAAUAAAUUGUUUUUAAACUUUGAAGCUUGAUUUCUCAAUUGUUUGUUUUUGCCUGACUGCAAUAAGCGAAUCAUUCAUAUCUUUUUAACCAGAUAUGCAAUUGAGUUCAAAUUUUCAGGGUUGUUUCUUUAUAGAUAGAACUGCAAUAGCUUACUAGAACUAAUCUUAAGCUUGUUUCCAUUUGAAUAUAUUCAUAUUUUACCUUUUUUUUUUGUAUCAAUAAUUUCCGUUAAAAUUGAAAAAGCUGCCAUUUUAAAAAUAAUAAUUAUUUUUAGUUUUUCUAGUAAGCUUUUGUUUAAUACACUAUAAUCUAUCAGUGUUGUAAGUUUUGGCUUAUAAUGUCAUAAAGAGGCUGAGAAAAUGUUGUUUUCUUUUUUCAUUGAUUUUUUUGCAUUUUAUGCUGAUUCAGCAAAAAAAAAAAGGAAAUUAUUU